ensembl:lncRNA
CGGGAUGGCGAGAGAGAGAGAAGGUGUCCAUUGGCCGGCCACUGUGGCUGUCGCAGGAGCCGUUUUCAGUGGGAUGGAGAAGGAUGCGGGCGGGGCAAGGAGGGCUAGCAUUUCACCACCAGAAGAUGGUCCAACCAAUAGUUUCUGGGACUUCACAAAAAGUAUCUCAUAAUUAUGAAGAUAGCUCUUUUCACUGUUGGUCUCUGCUGGGCAAGGUCUCCUCCAUGGUGGCUGCAGCUCUCCUCCCUCCCAGGCCUGUUUGGGCAUGCUUGACCUGUCAGAGGACUACACCUCAGCCGUCCUUCUGUAUCCAUGGUGACCAGUGAAGAAUAAGCUGCUUUGCAGUAAUUUGAACUAUAAUACAUUCGAAUGAUGCAUGCUUUAUUACUCAGGCGAUUGGCCCCAAAACUAUCAGAUCCCUGAAAUCUUGAAUUGUUAAAGAGGAAUUAACAUUUAUGUCUUUCUUUUUUCUUAUUUUAAUUUUCUUCUCUCUUUUUUUAAUCCAUUGUUAUGCCUUGGUAAAUUUGGUUGACUUUGUUUGAUUUCAGCAGCUGUAAACUUUAUCUUGAUAAUUAAAUAGGAAAAUAACUUCAGAAAUAUUUCCCCCCAAAAAAGAAACUACAAAAUAUAUUAAAUGUACCUAAGUAAGUGUAGAUAGUGCAAGGAAAAAUAUGACAAACACUGUAAACCUUUUUACAAAGUAAUGUUGCCCAAAAUGUUGGCCCUUUAAUACUGGUUCAUAUUAUCUUAGUGGUCUGUAUCCUCUCUCCCUGAAAAUAAGACCCAGCCG